rnacentral:misc_RNA from 1 species
UUGAGUUGAGUUGAGUUAAGUUAAGUUAUGUCCAAAUAGAGAACUUGCUAAAAUUUUCAGGAGCAACAACUACACAACUCUAAUGAGGCUUCCAAUCUCCCAACAAGAAAUAUUUCUCCAGAGAGUAGUGCUCCAGUCAGGAAUUCAAAGAGUAGAAUCUGUAAUUGCAAAAUAUGCGCCCUCAACUAAGGAAACCAAUUUUCAACUAUUGAAUUGUUGUCCUAGUUUGAUAAGAAAUAGCCAGUCAAGCAUCUGUGUAUCCUGCAGGCAUAUGAUAUCCACAAUGUCUUCCAGCCAGCAUAUUAUGAAGUACCUCAAGUUCAGCUAAGGAUUUCAAAGGGGGUUGGACCAAGUCCAGAUUGAAUUUUUAAUGGUUGAGGGAGUAUGGGAGGGGAGAGUGAAGGAGGAGACAAUGUUCUUUUUCCCCUAAACAGGUUUCAGAAUUUGACAUUGGCACUGAGCUGUUAGUUUCAAAUAUGAUAUAAUUUCAAAAUAUUCUAUCUUGUCUAAAAAAUUUUAAAAUUCUUACUAACAUUUCUUUCACAUCACAUUGAUGUUGACAUAAUUUCAUAAUAUAUACAAAAAUGCAAGAAUAGCAAGAGAAUUUUUUUUAUAGCUGUUAUAACAACUUGGGAAAUGAA